rnacentral:hammerhead_ribozyme from 1 species
GUUGACGAGUCCCAAAUAGGACGAAACGCGCGUCAAAC